CUCACUCGAAUCGAAAAAUACCAAAAUCCGAGAAUCGUCGCUUGCCGCAUCGCUAGUAUUCGAUCUAAAAGAGGCGGCGAAAAGUCAAUAGUAACCUACCCAGUGGCAUAGAUUCUUGUAAUCGUCCUUGCGACCGAGAAAACGAGUGUCCUGUUUCCUACUUCAUUCUCAAUCUCGCUGGAGUUUCGUUUUAUGUGUUAAGAUUUGGGAUUUUGACGAUGACAUCGCCAGCUUUAAACAACGGCAACAACGGCCAAAAAGACUUGAAAACAGAAUCGAAUACAAACUUAGAACAGUCCACUAGUAGAGCCGAGCCAGAAGCUGAACGAACAACCCCUCCACUAAUAGCCUGGUGGCGAGUUUUCAAACUGGUCAACCUGCUAAUGCAACACAAAUGUUGAAUAAAUGGAAGUUGUCGAUUUGGACCGGUUAAUAUGUUAUGUAAAUAUUUGGAGGAGAGUGAAGGGAAAUAGAAUUUGAAUGCACUAUUUUUUAUUUUAUUUUAUUAUUCAAGUGUUUAUAGAAGAGUCGUGUAAUAAUCAGAAUCAUAAAAUUCUAAAUAUAGAAAAUAUAGGAGAAUGAAACGUUUCAAAAUACAAGAAUAAAGACUAGCAAUAAUAACACUAUAUCAUUACUAAUUUGUUUCAAUGUGUUCGCGCGUUUAAAAACAUUAUUUAAAUUAAUGUAUAUGUAUAAUUCUUUUCUAUUCUAUUUAUAAUUUUCAUACAUUAUAUAUCAUAAUAUUUUCGCACCAAAACGCACUAUAAUGUAUAAUAAUUAUUUAGAAGUAAAGAUGAACUGAAAAAUUGAUGAAAACAUCUUGUUACUUGAUGAGUUUGAUAUUUCUAUUAAUUCAUUCAAAUAAAUAUUCAUAAUAAUUGUAUCGCCCUGUACUUUUAAAUGAAAAUUUCAUUAAGAAUCGAUCCCGAACCAUCACAACAUAGACCAGGCGGUGGAUGUAGUUGAGUAUGCGAAAUGUGACCGCGAUUCGAUGGAUGGUUCUGAAUUCAGAAAAGCACGCAGAUUAUGAUUCUGAAUAUUGCUAGGAGACGUAUUGGUCCAUUGGUCAUAUUUUUGUAUCAUUAUAACGAGUGUUUUAGAGAGAAUAUCCAAUUGAACAGGAAAAAUAAAAACAAUAAUUAUGUCAUCAUAUCUAUCAAAUACAAUGUCUACUCGUUUUACAUUUGGCUGCACAAAAAGAUUAUUAAAAUGCCUCAAGAAACUCACCAAAUGUACUGAAAUUUUUGGAUUGGAUCCGAUGAACAAGUGCCAUACCAUCGACAAUGUAAAUUUUUGAAAUAUGUAGAUUUAAAAUAUCCUGCUGCGUGUUAGUACCGCACUUAUUAAAUAUAUGUUAUCGGAUAUGUAUGAAAUCUAGGAAAUUUAUAUAAUUCCGAAGCUAUUUAGGAACUAUUUAAUACAUAAAUGUCUUAGGAAUUGUAUAUAAUUACAAUAUCGUAUUAGGAAAUGUAUCAAAAUAAUGCUUUUUGUAAUAAAACACGUUGUUAAAAUAAGAAUAAUAAUUUUUAUUAGAGCAAUCAUUGAGACAACAAAAUUCGGGUAACAAAUAUAAUAAUCUUCAUAUUAUCUUACUAAUUAAAGCUUCGGAAAUCAUUCUCAAUCAAAUCACUCUUAUAAAGUCAAUCUUUCGUUUGGUAAGUAAUUAUAAAUGUCACAAUAUUGAAGUAAGUCUUUAGGCUAUUUAUUUCUGCAGAGUAAGCCGGAAUGGCACUUGAAAGUACACAAUAAUUCAUUUUUAUAACAUAGACAUCUUGCUGUAGUACAAUUUUUGUCGCAAAGGCACUUUUAAAAUCCCUGGCCGGUUCCAGUGGAUUGUAGGUUAGCAACUGACCGUAGUGCCAUCUCUGUACUCGGUACAUCCUCUGCAUCAAGAAGAACUCUUGGACACACAGAUUUUUUUAAGGUUCCGUUCUUGGUACCAAAGCUACACCUAUAAUAUUUCGGGCAUCAGCACGUCCUCUGUCAACCUCUGGAACUGCGAUUCGUACAGAAGUGCCAAUAGGUACAGGAGCAAACUUUAUUUCAUUUACAUUUUCGAUUGCUACUUAGACAAUGUAUAAAUUUCCUAGAAAAUGUGUCUAAUACAAUUUAUUUCACACAUUUCCGUGCAAUUUUAGGAAUUACAUACAUUUCUGGUAACAUAUAUUUAGGUUUAUAUGCAGACGAUUUAGGUCAAUAGUCUUUCUCUCUACUUCUUUAGGUCCCUUGCUUUUUCUCUCCAGCUCUGGAUGUUUCUCUCUCUAAGGUCUUCUUCCACCGCUUUUUGAUCUACCUCUUUUCCUCUUGUCCUCUGGUAUCUUCCAUGUCGUUUCAAGAGUUUAUCUUCAUCCAUUUUUUCUAAGUGACCUAGCUAUUGCAAACUUCUUGUUUUUAAAAACGCGCUGUUUGGUGCCCCAUUAAAAAGUGUAUAAACUUCAUGGUUUUAUCUUGUCUCCCAUCCAAACUCUGUCUGCUUCCCUCCAAAAAUUCUUCUUAAUAUUUUCUCUCCCAAAUAUCCAAUUUCUGUUUAGUUUUUCGUAGAUCUGGAUAUCUCAUUCGAUGUUAAUAAUUUUCUAAGACUGCCUGCACAGCUGUUACUUUUGCCAAUUCUUAGUUCAAUUUUCCUUUUCUUUUUGGCAUUUAUUACCUACAUGAAAUUUUCAACUUCAGUAUUCAUUUUUCUAUUAUUUUGAAAAUAUACAGGACGAUAUAAACGAUAAUAUGCACAACUUAAAAACAGCGGCGAAAUUAGCGCCAGUAGUACAGAAAACAAGGUUACAGUUUUUGGGACCUAGCUCAUUCUUCACCGUCGGCGUUUUGGCAGUAAAGUCCUUUGUAUCCUUUUCUAUUCUCACCUUUCAAGGAAUUAAUAGCAACCGUGCAUGCGCGUGGCGUCGGACUCUCAUGAAAUGUGGUCUUGUGAAUGUAAACACCUUCACACAUGAAUUACUUAUACAACAAUAUAUUGAUCAAAUACUCAAACAUUGUCAUUUGACUCAUCUCUUUUUGUAAUUUCAUUGUUUAUGUCUACAAAUCUCAUAAAAUUUCUAUAAUUUGAAUACAUUUCUCAACAUAUAUCUCCCAAAAGUCAAGAGCAUUGUUUUAUCAUUUGAACAGACCAGUUUCACGCGCUUCUCUUAUUGGAUUCACCAAUAAUUUCUUAGGUCGAGGUCAAUCAAUCGCUGGUGUCUAUACUUUCCAAUAGAGGGACUUUAUCUUGCAGUGAACAAGCGCGCAUUUUGUUGGGAAAUUUUUCAGUGCAAUUCAAUUAUACAAUACGUUGUUGACUAUGGCAUCUUGAACGUUUUAAAAGUAUGAAAUCAAAAUAGAUUUUUUUUGGCACUUAGCACAAUAUUAACUAACUGUAAUUUUCUCUAAAAAUGAAUUAUUUGUCUAUUAUUCACCUCCUAUCAAUUCAAAUUUUCCCACAACUCAAAAAAAAUAACUGAAUAUCAUUGGUGUUGAAAUUAUUACAUCAAGAUAUUCUAUUUAUUAUUUUCUUACUCUCCCUUCGCAUUCUAUCCAGUUUUAAAAUACUAAAAAUGUUCGGAAACUGUACCGAUUUUACGAUAGUUGAAAGUGAAAACAAAUUAGAAAAUAAGUGGAUAUCUCAAACUAAAGGUUACAGUAUAACUGGUGUCAAUUAACCUAAACAUAAUACACUGUAAAAAGCAUACUCAAACAUAUUGCUUUCGAAGGUCAUGUUACCGUCCAGUAUAAUAAUCAACUUACUUAUUUAAAUAAUCGACUCAUAGUCACAUUAAGUUAGAGUAGGUACUUCGAAUUAUAUGUUCUUAAAAUCAUAACCCGAUAGCAUCAGAAACAAACAAUUUAAAGGGUUUACUAUUACUAGAGCCACAGAACAUACACUAAGAAGAAAUGAAAUGAAAGCUGUUAUUCAGUGGAAACAACAUGGCGCAUUUUCGAUACCAGUACCCUCUAUGGUACGAGGCAGAACUAAUCAAUUCUCGCGGUUCAUUCAAAUUUAUUACAUUGUAUAACUUUUGUGUUCUAUGUUAUUCAUUUUCUUCCAGGUUCGAUUCUAAACAGAAAUAAAACAGUGAUUCAGUUGAACAGAUUGCAUAUCAUUACAAUGAUAUAGUACUAUCAUUUUGAGAUUUAACAAAAGUUUGUUAUUGAAUUUACAUAUCAAGGUAUGUUAAAAGGUUUUAGUCGAUCUGUCCACCAAAGUAAGUCAAAAAUGACCAAUAUUGAUACCAGAUAUACGUAAAAUAUCACAGAAUUUAUCACAGUUGAAUUAAAAUGUCUUAGGGACUUCUUUUGUACGUAGAAAGAGCAAAAGUCUAUGAGUCUAUGAAUAUUUCUUAACUAUUAAUUAAUGAAUUCUUUCGUUGCAUUAUUUAAACUUUUAUACUAUAUAAUUUUGAUAUUUUGACUGUUGUAUUCUAAUGAACUUGAUACAUUAGCAUUUCCCUUGGUGUUAAAUUAUUGUUACUAGUUCCAGCUACAGUAAAAAAAAAACCCGAUUUUUGUUUAUCGAAACUACUAAUUUCCUUUGUAACUCCAAUGGCUCUUCUAUAGGUAAAUUGCCUGAUGUUAAAGCAUGAACACUCGCACCGUCAACUUGAUGCUCUUUAACUAUCAUAUCAGUGUCUACUAAGCCUGUAUUUACAGUACAUAAAUGUUAUUGGUUUACUAUACGAUCAUUUAGCCAAUCCAAAAUCGCAAGCGAAUCGCGGAUAAAAUUGCCAACAGUCUACACUCGCAAGUUCGCGCUCUUGACGCGUACGCAGUGAGAGUUCUAGUUCGUUAUUCCACACUGUACUCAUUUUGUAUGCAAAAUCGAGGCGAGCCUUUUAGGAGGGAAAAAAACCGACAAUUUUCGGACAACUAGCCGCGAAAAAUAUGCAAACGGAUCCACACUCAUGAUUCGCGUCAGCUAUUAACUUUGACUUAACUGUGAUCUUUAUACUUUAAAUGUUUUAUAUUGAAAUUUGUAAAAUUACUUUCCAGAAAAUUAUUUUCACACAAACGAUAAUUUGAUGUUGAGCAUUGAAUUUUACAAAAAUUUUCCCAUUUACAACACAACUCGGGAAAACGUUUGGGAAAUUUUAACAAAUGAUUAUUUAUCUUGACAAUUGACAUUGACAGUAAUGACAUAUUUUUAUUACACUAACGCCACGAUUAGUAAGUGGCUGAACUAAAUUUGUGUUAGAAAUUUUCUUAUUGAGUAUGUUCUAUGACUAGAGCUUUGAAAGUGAAGAUCUAUUCCAAUUUUUAAUAUUGAAAAUUUUGAAAUGAAAUAUCAAAUUGAAUCAUUCGAUAAGAUGUUAGUUAGGCAAAAAACGAAUUUAGCAAUAUAUAUAUAGAUACAAUAUAUGCCAUUAUUUAGAUUGUUAAUAUUAAUCGACAAUAUCGCUAAUCGUAAUAAAAAUUGUCUUAAAUUUUAUUAGUUUCUAAUAGUUGCAAUAUAAUAUAUUAGAAAACUUGUUAAACCUUAUAUAAAUAUAGGUAAUAUUGUGUCAAAA